GAAAAGAGAUGAAAAGGUGUGAGAUAUGACUAGACCUGCUGCUGGGAGCCAUAGAAUGAUGGUGAUUGGUGACAGAAAGGGCACAACAACUCUCACCUUGCUUCUGGUUUCCUUCAACUUUGGACUGGAACAGACAUAACAAAAUGCCUACUGAGAAAGCUGGAUGGAUUGUGAGCUGCCCUGGUGCAGAUAAUACAUUGGGAUGGAAUGAAGUAUCCACUGAAAUGUACUCAACCAAAGGAAAUGCGAAGAAGAAAUUCAGCACAGUGUGCAUGUUAGACAGGCAUUAUGGGUGGAAAAUUUCAUCAAUGCGAAUCGGAGAGCUGAGCUUUCAUUUGCUAAACACAUCAAUUCUUAACCUCUUAGAAAAAUCAUGACUUCUCCAUCCAGCUCUCCUGGCUGGACUCAGGACAUCUUUGGUGACUGCCGCAUUCAAUUUCCUCCUUGACAGCAAGUACAAAAAUUCCGCACUUCCUGCCCCCUCCCACUUCUUUGCACACUUGGGAUUUGCCUCUGCCACCCAGACCAAAAUA